GGGGAAGGUGUGAAAACACGUACCAAAACAGAGAAUAAAAAUUGCAAUAAAAUUCGCUGUCACUGCUCUCCAUUCAGGUCCUUCUAGAUGGUAAGUGUGCUAUCAGUGUGUUAUAGCAGACAACUGGCAUCUAAGCUGAGAACCGAGAGACGAGUCAGCAGAAGCCUGGCACAAUCCAAGGAAACUUGAAUGUCCUAUCGAUUUUGAAACGAUAUUAAGACACAAGGAGUGUUACCUGGGGCGUGUUGCACAGGUACCGAAGCAGUUCACCAAUGUACUGGAUGACAGUGACAUUGUACUUCCUGCAGUCAUCCCAAAACU